rnacentral:rRNA from 1 species
UACGUAGGGUGCGAGCGUUGUCCGGAAUUAUUGGGCGUAAAGAGCUCGUAGGCGGUGUGUCACGUCGGCCGUGAAAACCUGCAGCUUAACUGUGGGCGUGCGGUCGAUACGGGCAUCACUGGAGUUCGGCAGGGGAGACUGGAAUUCCUGGUGUAGCGGUGAAAUGCGCAGAUAUCAGGAGGAACACCGUUGGCGAAGGCGGGUCUCUGGGCCGAUACUGACGCUGAGGAGCGAAAGCGUGGGGAGCAAACAGG